rnacentral:rRNA from 1 species
GGGGACAACAACUGGAAACGGUGGCUAAUACCGGAUGUGCCGAAAGGUGAAAGGCUUGCUGCCUGGAGAUGAGCUCGCGUCUGAUUAGCUAGUUGGUAGAGUAAGAGCCUACCAAGGCGACGAUCAGUAGCUGGUCUGAGAGGACGAUCAGCCACACUGGGACUGAGACACGGCCCAGACUCCUACGGGAGGCAGCAGUGGGGAAUUUUCCGCAAUGGGCGAAAGCCUGACGGAGCAAUACCGCGUGAGGGAGGAAGGCUCUUGGGUUGUAAACCUCUUUUCUCAAGGAAGAAUGCAAUGACGGUACUUGAGGAAUAAGCAUCGGCUAACUCCGUGCCAGCAGCCGCGGUAAUACGGAGGAUGCAAGCGUUAUCCGGAAUGAUUGGGCGUAAAGCGUCCGCAGGUGGUUUUGUGUGUCUGCUGUUAAAGAGUGAGGCUCAACCUCAUAAAAGCAGUGGAAACUACAAGACUAGAGUACGUUCGGGGCAGAGGGAAUUCCUGGUGUAGCGGUGAAAUGCGUAGAGAUCAGGAAGAACACCGGUGGCGAAAGCGCUCUGCUAGGCCUGUACUGACACUGAGGGACGAAAGCUAGGGGAGCGAAUGGGAUUAGAUACCGCAGUAGUC